rnacentral:rRNA from 1 species
AUUGAACGCUGGCGGCAUGCUUUACACAUGCAAGUCGAACGGUAACAGGGUGCUUGCACCGCUGACGAGUGGCGAACGGGUGAGUAAUGCGUCGGAACGUGCCGAGUAGUGGGGGAUAACGCAGCGAAAGUUGUGCUAAUACCGCAUACGUACUGAGGUAGAAAGCGGGGGACCUUCGGGCCUCACGCUAUUCGAGCGGCCGACGUCUGAUUAGCUAGUAGGUGAGGUAAAGGCUCACCUAGGCGACGAUCAGUAGCGGGUCUGAGAGGAUGAUCCGCCACACUGGGACUGAGACACGGCCCAGACUCCUACGGGAGGCAGUAGUGGGGAAUUUUGGACAAUGGGCGAAAGCCUGAUCCAGCCAUGCCGCGUGUCUGAAGAAGGCCUUCGGGUUGUAAAGGACUUUUGUCAGGGAGGAAAUCCCUAGUGCUAAUAACACUGGGGGAUGGCAGUACCUGAAGAAUAAGCACCGGCUAACUACGUGCCAGCAGCCGCAGUAA